rnacentral:lncRNA from 1 species
GUAACGCUCUGUUUUUCCUCCUGCGUCGCCGGUCUCUGUCUCCUCCUGCGUGUGGUUGUGCUGAAGCUCCAUGGGAAGGAUAUACAACGGAUUCCAUGGGUGAAGCUUAACCACAGCUACAGAAGUACCGCGAGACUCGAUUGAAGCAGUACAAGAACUACGAGAACCUCUCGUUCUCGUGAGGAUCUCGACAAGGUGAACACCUCAGCUGCUUCACGCUUUCACUUCUGAUUCAGAUAAAAUUAUGAAUACUAAUUCUAAUUCGUUUUUAAACUCCCUGUUUAUUUAUUUAUUUGGCAGGAGUGUUUGGAAGUGCAGAAGGAGAAGGCCUUCUGUAUUGGCACCACU